rnacentral:rRNA from 1 species
GACGAACGCUGGCGGCGUGCCUAACACAUGCAAGUCGAACGAGGUCCAUGCAGUGGCAACACUGCGGAAGACCUAGUGGCGAACGGGUGAGUAACACGUGAGGAACUUGCCCCGGAGACCGGGAUAACCCUCCGAAAGGAGAGCUAAUACCGGAUGUCCUCACCGAGUCGCAUGGCUUGGUGAGGAAAUGGAUUCCGCUCCGGGAGAGCCUCGCGGCCUAUCAGCUUGUUGGCGGGGUAACGGCCCACCAAGGCAUCGACGGGUAGCUGGUCUGAGAGGACGAGCAGCCAGACUGGGACUGAGACACGGCCCAGACUCCGACGGGAGGCAGCAGUGGGGAAUCUUGCGCAAGGGGCGAAGGCCUGACGCAGCAACGCCGCGUGCGGGAUGAAGGCCCUCGGGUUGUAAACCGCUUUCAGUGGGGACGAACCAAGACGGUACCCACAGAAGAAGCCCCGGCCAACUACGUGCCAGCCGCCGCCGUAACAC